rnacentral:rRNA from 1 species
UACGUAGGGUCCGAGCGUUGUCCGGAAUUAUUGGGCGUAAAGAGCUCGUAGGCGGUUUGUCGCGUCUGCUGUGAAAUCCCGAGGCUCAACCUCGGGCCUGCAGUGGGUACGGGCAGACUGGAGUGCGGUAGGGGAGAAUGGAAUUCCUGGUGUAGCGGUGGAAUGCGCAGAUAUCAGGAGGAACAUCGAUGGCGAAGGCAGUUCUCUGGGCCGUAACUGACGCUGAGGAGCGAAAGCGUGGGGAGCGAACAGG